rfam:Dipodomys ordii contig_25685, whole genome shotgun sequence.
GGUGGCUCAGUGGUAGAGUGCUUGCCUGGCAAGCACGAGGCUCUGGGUUUGAUUCCUCAGCACCA